UCUACGGGUGGCAGCAGUGAGGAAUAUUGGUCAAUGGCCGUAAGGCUGAACCAGCCAAGUAGCGUGAGGGAAGACUGCCCUAUGGGUUGUAAACCUCUUUUAUGCGGGGAUAAAGGUGUCCACGUGUGGAUGUUUGCAGGUACCGCAUGAAUAAGGACCGGCUAAUUCCGUGCCAGCAGCCGCGGUAAUACGGCAGGUCCGGGCGUUGUCCGGAUUUCUUGGGUUUAAAGGGAGGGUAGGCAAGUCUUUAAGCGUGCCGUGAAAUUUUGUGGCUCAACCAUGAGUGUGCGGCGCGAACUGGAGACCUUGAGGGCGCGGAAGGCAGGCGGAAUUCGUGGUGUAGCGGGGACAUGCUUAGAUAUCACGAAGAACCCCGAUUGCGAAGGCAGCCUGCCGCAGCGUUACUGACGCUGAAGCUCGAAAGCGCGGGUAUCGAACAGGAUUAGAUACCCGGGUAGUC
rnacentral:rRNA from 1 species